UGGCGGCAAAGACAAUUUCGUCUUGGAUUUGCGUCACAGGGAUAAACCCGUUGAGAGCGAAUCCGUGAUGAAAAGGAGAAACCACUCAUUUUCCAGCCCCUCUCAUGUACUCAAGAACGCGUGAGCUAAAACUGCGCACCCCGGGUACACAGAGACGACUUGAGGAGGCAGAGCAACAGUUUGACGACGCGAGCGUCCGAGUUGGGAGGGCGGCGGUCAUGUGUCCGACGUGGCGUCUGCUGCUUCUCCUGUCAGGAGCGGGUCUCGUCUCGGCGAUUGAGAUCUUUGCUCCGUCCGCGGUGGAGGCGGUGAACGGGACCGCCGUCAAACUCAAGUGCACCUUCCGCUCCAGUCACCCCGUGUCCAGCCAGUCCGUCAUCGUGUCCUGGAACUUCCGGCCGCUCAACUCGAAAACGGAAGAGUCGGUGUUCCACUACCAGGAGGUGGCGUACCCUCCUCAGAGCGGGCGCUUCAAAGGCCACGCGGUGUGGUCGGGCGACAUCAGCAGAAGCGACGCCUCCAUCACCCUGCAGGAGGUGGCCCCGACCUUCAACGGCACGUACGUCUGCAACGUGCGGAACCGCCCGGAUGUGCACGGCAACAACAGGGAGACCGCGCUCAGCGUGGUCGCCGAAGCUUCCCUCUCCGAGAUCAGCAUCCUGGUCAUCGCGGUCGUCGGCGGCUGCGUGUUGAUCCUGAUCCUCCUCGGUCUCUUCCUGGCCGUGAAGUUCUUCAAGAGGAGGAGCGGGGGCCAGGACGUGGAGAUGCGGCCGCAGGAGCCCACCAAGAGGAAGGACCCGACCGUGUGCAAACCCGACGAAGCGGUUCAUCUUUACCUCGUGAAGGAGACGCUCCAAGUUGAGAGCUCGGAUGAUGAAGCGUCCGAGCCGAGCAGCGGAGAUGACGACGACGACGACGACGACGAUGAGGAAGAGGAUGAUGAUGAUGACGAUGACGACGACGGCGGCGACGAUGACGACGAUUGAAUCGGGCAUUUUUGAAUCGAGCACGGCGGCUCUCAGCAUUUGAUGGCCGUUUUUUUUUUUUUUUUUUUUUUUUUAUCCCGAGAUUACUCCAAAACUCUGCAGCGGCCCGCCUCCUUUCAGCAGGGCCCAGAAAAAAAAUUUGGGUGAUCAUCUGAAUUUUCAGAUACGACAAUGUUUGGUUUUCGUGUAUACCGUGACGGUCCGGUGGGGGAGUGAGCAACCAGAAGACAGAAGUGGCGAGAUCCGGUCCCGCACUUGGGACGGAUGGACGGAUGGAGUCCGGACUGCCGGGCCUCGGUGUCGCAUCUGCGCUUCCGCUGAGUUCUAACCUGCUCCGUCUUAAUUCUCGUGUUUUGUCCUUUUGCUCAAGCGGCCGUACCUCCUCUCUUACUUGACGCACUCAAGAUGCGAUUGCGACCACCGAGGCCAUCGGUCCUGUGAUGCUUCUUCCACCUACGAUGAGAGUUUUUUUUUUUUUUACAUCUGUACAAUAGUAACCUUGCACUUGUGGUUUUGUACACCCCCCCCCCUUAAUAGUCUAUACUGGUAUGUGCAGCUGGAAUAAAGUAUUUGAAAGAAUAAUGUGGAAUGUGUUUUGAUGGCGGUUUUGCAUCCGUUCUCAACUCAGUCUCUCGGGGCUGCUCCUUUUCCACCAGAUCAUGACACUCAUAUGUUUCCAGUUAUGUGUAAUGUUUAGAAAAAUAUUUGUGUUUUUACCAUUCCUCAACCUUCCCACUCAUUUGCUCUCCCUUUCCAAUCUUUUGCAGGCAUGAAAUUCCAAAUAUUUAGAAAUGUAUGUGUUCAUUUGAAUAUAAAUUAAA